CCACCAACUCAGCUGUAAAAAUUCUUUUGGUAUUGGUACACUUAUUACAAUGUUUUAGCUUGUGGUCAAUUUCUGUAUUAUAAAAAUUAAUAUAGAGAGUAAAAGAUGUUCAAUUUAGCUAGGCAGUAGAUUAUCUACUAAUACAGCUUUUUCGUGUUCGAAUGAGAUGUGUUUGAAUUUUAUACCAAGAUAAUUGAAACAGUAAACAUGAAGGGAUUUUUAAUAUGUUUUGUGUAUAUAUUCGGAACUAUCUUUUGCAUAGAACAAGACUUUAAAGGAUUUGAUGAUAGUAUUUUAUUUACAAUAAAUUGGCCAGGCUCUCCUGAUGCACUUGAAAGUCUUGUAGAUAAGGAUAUAAAACCAGAGGAAAAUGAAAUUUUACAAGUUACAACCACACAAAAGGAACAAUAUGAGUGUCAUAUACCAAUACUGCAAAGUAAAGUGACAAACAGUAUUGAAGACUAUGAUGGUCCUACUCCCUUUGAACUGUUAAAGCCAAUAUUCUCACAGAAGAUUUGCUCAUAUCGCUUGGAGAGCUAUUGGAGCUAUGAAGUGUGCCAUGGUCGGCAUGUUAGGCAGUAUCAUGAGGACAGAGAAGGCAAACAAGCAAAAACCCAUGAAUAUUACUUGGGCCGUUGGUCUGAUGAGGAUCAUUUGAAGCUGGCCGAAGAUAUAAAAGCGGCUCAGGAAUCUAGAGAGAAAUUAAAAACAACUAAAGUGGAAGGAAUAACUUUGCCAUAUGUGGAAAUGGUUAUGACUGAGGGUAGCAUGUGUGACUUGAGUGGCCAACCGCGUAAAACAAGAGUACUGUAUGUGUGCUACACCCACGGCAAGCAUGAGAUAUAUUCAAUGAAAGAAACAACAACAUGCGAGUAUGAAAUCAUCAUACUCUCUGGCUUGCUUUGCGACCAUCCACAGUUUAAGUCAAAGGAUGUAUCGGAAAACGAAAUUAAUUGUCUUCCUAUUGGUGAUGCACCGAAAAAACCAAGGAACUUGUUGAAAAGUGAAGUCGAAAGCUUGAAGCUCAACCAUCAAUCAAUAAGAUUGAGCAGCAAUGAGAAGGAUGCUAAAGAUGUUCUAGCUGUAUUGAAAGUUGAGAAAAUCGAUAAGGAUGGCGAAACACACUUGAAGUUAGAACUACAUCCCCUUUCUGAGGAGGGUGACGUCACUCAGUUGGGCAAAACCACACCACUUAUUGACAAGCCAGCUCCGAUAACCGACGAUUCACCUGUACGAGCUUUCCUUAAUGGAGAGAACUGCUUGGAUGGGGGCACGGGGUGGUGGAAGUACGAGUUCUGUUACGGUCGGCACGUGACGCAGUACCACGUGGACCGCUCGGGCGCGCGCACCACGCUCAAGCUGGGCGAGUUCGACGAGCGGGCACAUCUUGAGUGGAUCAAGGAGAAUAGGGGCAAGGCGCCUAAACCCGUCGGUGAGUGUGUGUGGGACACGGUGUUGUGGCCACGCAGUUGUUGGGCACAGUGUUGUGGGGCAACGCGUAGGGCAGAUCAGGUUUCGCUACGGGCAGAUUAGGUUUCGCUACGGGCAGCACUUGACGCAGUACCACGCUCAAGCUGGGCGAGUUCGACGAGCGGGCACAUCUUGAGUGGAUCAAGGAGAAUAGGGGCAAGGCGCCUAAACCCGUCGAAGUCCGUACAUCAGUGUCGCAUUUCUAUUCGAAUGGGGACAUUUGCGACCAAACCGGCAAGCCGCGACAGACAGAAGUGAAACUAAAGUGUUUAGAAAAUUCGUCAAGCCCCGCCCAAGUGUCUCUCUAUCUC